CAGUCGCCGCGGUAAUACAGAGGGUGCGAGCGUUAAUCGGAUUUACUGGGCGUAAAGCGUGCGUAGGCGGCUUUUUAAGUCGGAUGUGAAAUCCCUGAGCUUAACUUAGGAAUUGCAUUCGAUACUGGGAAGCUAGAGUAUGGGAGAGGAUGGUAGAAUUCCAGGUGUAGCGGUGAAAUGCGUAGAGAUCUGGAGGAAUACCGAUGGCGAAGGCAGCCAUCUGGCCUAAUACUGACGCUGAGGUACGAAAGCAUGGGGAGCAAACAGGAUUAGAUACCCCUGUAGUUCCUGUCUCUUAUAC
rnacentral:rRNA from 1 species